rnacentral:lncRNA from 10 species
GUGCAAUAAUCCAAGUGAGAAAUGGACCAGAAUGGUAGCAGUGGAGAUGGUGAGGAGUGUUGGACAUUGGGUACACAACAAAGGCAGUAGUGAAGAAUGAUGUCAAGAUGUGUCGGCUUAUAUGACUGCAAGAAUGGAGUUAUUUACUGAGAUGGGGACAGGCAGGUUAGAAGAUAUUUCAUUUGUAUUAUGUUUUAGGUGUCCACUAGAUAUAAACUAGGUGUUACAUAUCAUCACCCCGACAUGCUGUGACUCCUUACUCUGUGCAAAUUUCUGUGCAAAAGCUUUCUGACUUCAUAGGAUGUCUGAAUUUGAUUAAUAUUCAUCUUUCACACUGGAGUGCAGUUGCAUGAGAGCAGUGGCUAUUUCGAUCUCUCUCUGUGUAUUCCUAGCACCAAGCACAGUGCCUGACGAAGUACACACUCAGUGACUAGUGAAUGGAUGACUGAAUGAAAGAGUGAAGAAGUGAGACUUCCCAACAACUCCAUACAGAACUGGACCAACUGCUUCCACAGCUCAUCUUGGUCAAGUCUGAUUCCCAUAGGUGGCAUGACCGAUGGAGAUGCCCCUGGCAUCAAUGCCUCCUCUUUCCCUUUGGUCCAGGUCACACCUUCAAUUCAAGGUUCCUAAAUGCUGAUAUUAUUUUACUGUUACAAAAUUUAGGAGAAUAUGAAAAAAAUACAUUUUCUUCAUAAUAUUAUAGAUUAAUUUCCUCAAUUUUAUGCCACUAUGGUGGCCUGAUCUUAAAUUUUCCAUACAGGUCUACUUGAAAAUUUACUCUAGGGUUCUUUUGUGAUCUCACUCAACCUGCCAGACCAUCCUAGCUCUACAGUUUGCACCCCCAACAUCAUACUCUGAAACCCUCUCAUCCUUGCGCUAGCUUUAUUUGUAGUCAGAGUAGUUUGUGGUCUAUAUUUCAGCGCAAGGAAAACUCUACUAUCCAUUUUCUAAGGCACAAGUUGAUCUUAUGCUUAAGAGUCCAGCACAAAGACGAAUUUCUC